rnacentral:siRNA from 1 species
CUAUAUAUACAUUUUUGCAGCCAU